GGCGGCGUGCCUAACACAUGCAAGUCGAGCGAGUAAAUCUCCUUCGGGAGUGAAGCUAGCGGCGGACGGGUGAGUAACACGUGGGCAACCUGCCUCAUAGAGGGAAUAGCCUUCCGAAAGGAAGAUUAAUACCGCAUAAGAUUGUAGCUUCGCAUGAAGUAGCAAUUAAAGGAGCAAUCCGCUAUGAGAUGGGCCCGCGGCGCAUUAGCUAGUUGGUGAGGUAACGGCUCACCAAGGCGACGAUGCGUAGCCGACCUGAGAGGGUGAUCGGCCACAUUGGGACUGAGACACGGCCCAGACUCCUACGGGAGGCAGCAGUGGGGAAUAUUGCACAAUGGGGAAACCCUGAUGCAGCAACGCCGCGUGAGUGAUGACGGCCUUCGGGUUGUAAAGCUCUGUCUUCAGGGACGAUAAUGACGGUACCUGAGGAGGAAGCCACGGCUAACUACGUG
rnacentral:rRNA from 1 species